CGAGGGGUAACAGAUCUUCGGAUGCUGACGACCGGCGAACGGGUGAGUAACACGUAUGCAACUUACCCAUAACUCGGGAAUAGCCCAAAGAAAUUUGGAUUAAUACCCAAUAAUACAGGCGUACCGCAUGGUAUUCUUCGUUAAAGAAUAAUCGGUUAUGGAUAGGCAUGCGUUCUAUUAGGUAGUUGGUGAGGUAACGGCUCACCAAGCCGACGAUGGAUAGGGGAACUGAGGGGUUGUCCCCCCACACUGGUACUGAGACACGGACCAGACUCCUACGGGAGGCAGCAGUGAGGAAUAUUGGUCAAUGGACGAAAGUCUGAACCAGCCAAAUCGCGUGAAGGAAGAAGGUAUUAUGUAUCGUAAACUUCUUUUGUAAGAGAGUAAAGUGCACUACGUGUAGUGUAUUGCAAGUACCUUACGAAUAAGCAUCGGCUAAUUCCGUGCCAGCAGCCGCGGUAAUACGGAAGAUGCAAGUGUUAUCCGGAUUUAUUGGGUUUAAAGGGUGCGUAGGUGGUCUAAUAAGUCAGUGGUGAAAUCUCUUUGCUUAACAAGGAAAUUGCCAUUGAAACUGUUAGACUUGAGAAUGGACGAGGUAGGCGGAAUUCGUAGUGUAGCGGUGAAAUGCAUAGAUAUUACGAAGAACUCCAAUAGUGUAGACUGCUUACCAGACCAUAUCUGACACUAAGGCACGAAAGUGUGGGUAUCAAACAGGAUUAGAUACCCUGGUAGUCCACACAGUAAACGAUGAAUACUAACUGUUUGCGAUAUACAGCAAGUGGUCGAGCGAAAGCGUUAAGUAUUCCACCUGGGAAGUAUGCCGGCAACGGUGAAACUCAAAGGAAUUGACGGGGGCCCGCACAAGCGGAGGAACAUGUGGUUUAAUUCGAUAAUACGCGAGGAACCUUACCCGGGCUCGAACGAUAUUUGAAUACAUCCGAAAAGAUGUAGCUAGCAAUAGCAAAUACCGAGGUGCUGCAUGGUUGUCGUCAGCUCGU
rnacentral:rRNA from 1 species